GAUGAACGCUAGCUACAGGCUUAACACAUGCAAGUCGAGGGGUAACGAGAGGAAAGCUUGCUUUCCUUGUCGACGACCGGCGCACGGGUGAGUAACGCGUAUCCAACCUGCCCCCAACUAAGGAAUAACCUUGCGAAAGUAGGACUAAUACCUUAUAAUUUCCUCAGAUGUCAUCUGACGAGGAAUAAAGAUUUAUCGGUUGUGGAUGGGGAUGCGUCUGAUUAGCCUGUUGGCGGGGUAACGGCCCACCAAGGCAACGACCAGUAGGGGUUCUGAGAGGAAGGUCCCCCACAUUGGAACUGAGACACGGUCCAAACUCCUACGGGAGGCAGCAGUGAGGAAUAUUGGUCAAUGGGCGAAAGCCUGAACCAGCCAAGUAGCGUGCAGGAUGACGGCCCUAUGGGUUGUAGACUGCUUUUAUACAGGAAUAAAGUUAGCCACGUGUGGUUAUUUGUAGGUACUGUAUGAAUAAGGACCGGCUAAUUCCGUGCCAGCCGCCGCCGUAA
rnacentral:rRNA from 1 species